rnacentral:rRNA from 1 species
AGGAUGAACGCUGGCGGCGUGCCUAAUACAUGCAAGUCGAGCGGUAAGGCUUUCACUCUGUGUUUAACUAGUUUGAACCCAGUGUGAAAGUACACGAGCGGCGGACGGCUGAGUAACACGUAGGAACGUACCCCAAAGUGAGGCAUAAGCACCAGAAAUGGUGUCUAAUACCGCAUGUGGCCCACGGGCUAAAGCUCCGGCGCUUUGGGAACGGCCUGCGCAUGAUUAGCUUGUUGGUGAGGUAAAAGCUCACCAAGGCAGUGAUCAUUAGCUGGUCUGAGAGGAUGACCAGCCAGACUGGGACUGAGAACGGCCCAGACUCCUACGGGAGGCAGCAGUAGGGAAUUUUCCACAAUGGGCGAAAGCCUGAUGGAGCAACGCCGCGUGCAGGAUGAAGGCUCGUAGGGUCGUAAACGUGUCUUUUAUCUGUGACGAAUAUGACGGUAGCGAGAUAGAAUAAGGAUCGGCUAACUCCGUGCCAGCA